rnacentral:rRNA from 1 species
AUUGAACGCUGGCGGCAGGCCUAACACAUGCAAGUCGAACGAGUGGCGGACGGGUGAGUAAUGUCUGGGAAACUGCCCGAUGGAGGGGGAUAACUACUGGACACGGUAGCUAAUACCGCAUACCAUCGGAUGUGCCCAGAUGGGAUUAGCUAGUAGGUGGGGUAACGGCUCACCUAGGCGACGAUCCCUAGCUGGUCUGAGAGGAGGACCAGCCACACUGGAACUGAGACACGGUCCAGACUCCUACGGGAGGCAGCAGUGGGGAAUAUUGCAAAAUGGGCGAAAGCCUGAUGCAGCCAUGCCGCGUGUAUGAAGAAGGCCUUCGGGUUGUAAAGUACUUUCAGCGGGGAGGCGUUACCCGCAGAAGAAGCACCGGCUAACUCCGUGCCAGCAGCCGCGGUAAUAC